GUUUGCAGGCUGGGAGGGGGUUGUAGGGUGUGGAGUCAUGAGGUUGGCCAAGCUCGGUUACAAAAUCCAAAGGCCUUGUCAAUUGAGGCCAGAAUAAGAAACAAUAGAGAAUGUCUCAGAGUUAAGUAGGUGCCACAGGGGUUGAUCAUUUCUUCCUGUUUCUGCGAUCUUACAGCCAUUUCAUGUUUUCUAAUUCUGUAAGGCCCUCCAGAGGUGUACAUGUAGUUCACGGGGGUUGCCAUGCCAUCCACAGCACGGUCAGACCUUACACAAUUAACAGGUAUUUUCCUGGAAUUUAAGCUUUAACUGAUUACCUAAAGUCUUGACUGCUGUCUCUUCUCCCCAGUAAGUGACAAGAUAUGGGGCUGAAAUGCUUGUUGCUUACAAAAUCAGUAGUCUGGAGAAGUAACAGAACAUGCACAUGUUAUAAUACUGAUUUUUGUGAUUUCGAGGUGAUGAAAGCCUCUGUCUUUCUGGCCUCAGAUUCCUCCUUCUGGCCUCAAAUUCCUUCAGUUUUCUAUGGGAGGAUUCUUUGGGAAAUCAAACCAUAAAGAAAAACAAGUAUGUGAUUGUCAAAAAAAAAAAAAUUGAUAGUUUCUCUUUCUGCUAGAGGGGCAUACGGAGGGCUUCUGAGGGCUGGCAAUGUUCUUUUUUUUUGUUGACCUGAUAGUAACAUAGGGUUUCAUUUUACAAUAGUUUAUUAAACUUUACGAGUAGUUUUGUGCA